rnacentral:tRNA from 1 species
GGAGGUAUAGCUCAAGUGGUAGAGUGCCUGCUUAGCAUGCACAAGGUCCUGGGUUCAAUCCCCAGUACCUCCU